UGAACGCUGGCGGCAUGCCUUACACAUGCAAGUCGAACGGCAGCACGGGGCAACCUGGUGCGAGUGGCGGAACGGGUGAGUAAUAUAUCGGAACGUGCCCUGGAGUGGGGGAUAACGUAGCGAAAGUUACGCUAAUACCGCAUACGAUCUCAGGAUGAAAGCAGGGGACCGCAAGGCCUUGUGCUCCUGGAGCGGCCGAUAUCUGAUUAGCUAGUUGGUGGGGUAAAAGCCUACCAAGGCGACGAUCUGUAGCUGGUCUGAGAGGACGACCAGCCACACUGGGACUGAGACACGGCCCAGACUCCUACGGGAGGCAGCAGUGGGAAUUUUGGACAAUGGGCGAAAGCCUGAUCCAGCAAUGCCGCGUGUGU
rnacentral:rRNA from 1 species